CGUAUUCGAGCCUGCCUUCGACAAGGAGGGUUAAGUCGUAACAAGGUAUCUGUAGGGGAACCUGCAGAUGGAUCACCUCCUAAGAAA
rnacentral:rRNA from 1 species